rnacentral:misc_RNA from 1 species
AACGCAUCUUGCGCCCUUUGGUAUUCCGAGGGGCAUGCCUGUUUGAGUGUCGCAUUACUCUCAACCCUUGACCGUUCAUCGGCUUGGGCUUGGACCGUGGCCGAACAGGCUGGCGUCUCGACGUCUGGCCCGGCUGAAAUGGAUGCGGAGCGAAUGCUGACCGCGACGACCGAGCGUUGUAGAACCUCGCGAGGUCUUGCGGCGCUGCUCUCCAGUCAUAUUCUUCGACCUCAAAUCAGGUAGGAUUACCCGCUGAACUUAA